rnacentral:rRNA from 1 species
UACGUAGGGUGCAAGCGUUGUUCGGAAUCACUGGGCGUAAAGGGAGCGUAGGCGGAUCGGUAAGUUAGGAGUGUAAUCCAUAGGCUUAACCUGUGGCUUGCUUUUAAUACUGCCAGUCUUGAGUAUGGGAGAGGAUGAUGGAAUUCCAGGUGUAGCGGUGGAAUGCGUAGAGAUCUGGAAGAACACCAGUUGCGUAGGCGGUCAUCUGGCCCAAUACUGACGCUGAGGCUCGAAAGCUAGGGGAG